rnacentral:rRNA from 1 species
AGGUUUGCCCCAUCGGGCGAGUCCUGACGACGCAACGCCGCGUGGGGGAUGAAGGCCUUCGGAUUGUAAACCCCUUGUCGCCCGGGACGAAGGGGCCGACCCAACACCUCCGGUCCGACAGUAUCCGGUGAGGAAGCCCCCGUAUAUCUGUGCCCCCGGCACCGGUAAUAAA